AAGCUGGGAUGACAUCUUAGGACACCUUUGGAUAAAACAUGAAAACAACUCAAUAAACAGCUGAGCUUC